CGGGGUGAACUUGGCGCCGACGAGUGGCGGACGGGUGAGUAAUACUUAGGAAUCUGCCCAGUAGUGGGGGACAACACGACGAAAGUCAUGCUAAUACCGCAUACGCCCUAAGGGGGAAAGUGGAGGAUCUUCGGACUUCACGCUAUUGGAUGAGCCUAAGUCGGAUUAGCUUGUUGGUAGGGUAAUGGCCUACCAAGGCGACGAUCCGUAGCUGGUCUGAGAGGACGAUCAGCCACACUGGGACUGAGACACGGCCCAGACUCC
rnacentral:rRNA from 1 species